rnacentral:rRNA from 1 species
AGUGAACGCUGGCGGUAGGCCUAACACAUGCAAGUCGAACGGCAGCACAGUAAGAGCUUGCUCUUACGGGUGGCGAGUGGCGGACGGGUGAGGAAUACAUCGGAAUCUACUUUUUCGUGGGGGAUAACGUAGGGAAACUUACGCUAAUACCGCAUACGACCUACGGGUGAAAGCAGGGGAUCUUCGGACCUUGCGCGAUUGAAUGAGCCGAUGUCGGAUUAGCUAGUUGGCGGGGUAAAGGCCCACCAAGGCGACGAUCCGUAGCUGGUCUGAGAGGAUGAUCAGCCACACUGGAACUGAGACACGGGCCAGACUCCUACGGGAGGCAGCAUUGGGGAAUAUUGGACAAGGGGCGAAAGCCUGAUCCAGCCAUACGGCGUGGGUGAAGAAGGCCUUCGGGUGGUAAAGCCCUUUUGUUGGGAAAGAAAAGCAGCAGGUUAAUACCCCGCUGUUCUGACGGUACCCAAAGAAGAAGCACCGGCUAACUUCGU